AUAAUAAUAAUAAUAAUAAUAAUAAUAAUAAUAAAACUUUAUUUAUACCCCGCCACCAUCUCCCCAACGGGGACUCGGGGCGGCUUACAUGGGGCCAUGCCCAGAACAGUACAAUAUAGCAAAAUAUAAAACAACAUAUCACAAUACAACAUGGAAAUGUUGCUGCUGCUACCAUUUUUGAGAUUCCUUAUCCAAGUAAUUACUUUUGGCCUCCUAUUAUACUGAACAGACCUGAUUUUGAUUGGUUUCAGAAAUUAUGUAAGGUCGAACUUUGCUUGUCAUCAUCUCACUCGUUCAGUCGUUUUCGACUCUUCGUGACCUCAUGGACCAGUCCACACCAGAGCUCCCUGUCAGCUUUGGUAAUAAAGGUUUAUUAGUCCAUACCUGAAAUGCUUGGGACCAGAAGGUUUUUUGGAUUUUGGAAUACCUAUUUUUAUAUAUACAUGCAUACAUCAUGAGCUAUCUUGGAAAUGACACCUAAGCCUCAACACAAAAUUAAUUUUUGUUUCAUAUAUACCUUAUGCACAUAGCCCGAGGGUAAUUUUAUACAAUAUUUUUCACAAUUUAGUGUGUGAAAUAAAGUUUGUGUAUAUUGAACCACUGAGAAGGAAAAAGUGUUACAAUCUCAACCCCCACCCUUCAUACACAAUUUUACAUUUUGGAGUAUUUGGGAUUUCUGGAUUGGGGUGCUCAACUUGUAGUUGAAUGGGAGAGCGCCAAAGAAUAUCAGAUGUAGGGGCCUGUGAAACCCCCAAGAGCUAUUGUCAGAGCUGACAAUACUGGGCUGUGGCACAGACGGGAGAGCAAUGAGUCACUGACCAGGAGGUCAUAAGUUCGAGGCCCUCUCAGAGCUAUGUUUGUUUGUCUUUGUCCUGUGUUAAAAAGGCAUUGAAUGUUUGCCUAAUAUGUGUAAUGUGAUCCGCCCUGAGUCCCCUUCGGAGUGAGAAGGGCGGAAUAUAAAUGAUGCAAAUAAAUAAAUAAAUAAGUUAUGCGGCGAUGCAAUGCUUUUUCUCCCUCUUAUGUCAUCUAUAUAAAGUAUAGGAGAGGGUGCUAUUAAAUCGAUUAGGACCUGUCAUCGAACCUAAGUUUAUUGCACAACAAGCAGGUUUCAGACCAGGGAAAAACUGUACAUGUCAAAUUCUUCAUCUGACUGAGCAUAUCGAGGAAGGCUAUGAGAAAGGCUGCAUUACGGGAACAGUUUUUGUGGACCUUAUGGCAGGCUAUGACAUGGUGCAACAUAGAAAAAUGCUGCAUAAAGUCUACCAUAUCACCUGGGACUUUGACUUUACAAAAAUUGUCCAGACCGCUUGGAAAACUGCAGCUUCUAUGUGAAGUUUCAGGGCAGGAAAAGUAGAUGGGGGAGGCAAAAAAAUGGUUUACCCCAAGACAGCGUUCUGGCAACGACCUUGUUUAACAUCUCAAACGAUCAGCCACUACCACCACUCACAAAGAGCUUUAUAUAUGCUGAUGACCUUGGCCUAACAACACAAGCAAAAGAUUUUGAAACAGUUGAAAAGCAACUCACUAAUGCCUUGAAAGAUCUCUCCAGCUACUACAAAGAGAACCACCUGAAGCCUAACCCUGCCAAGACACAAGUGUGUGCUUUCCACCUAUGUAACCGUGAAGCCAACAGGAAACUGAAAGUUACCUGGGAAGGCCAAGAGCUCGAACACUGUUUCCAUCCUAAAUAUCUUGGUGUCAUCUUAGAUCAAACACUAACAUAUAGGAAACACUGCAUGAACACCAAGCACAUAGUAGCUGCAUGCAACAACAUCCUGCGGAAACUUACUGGCAGUGCAUGGGGUGCAGACCCACAAGUAAUAAGAACAUCAGCCCUGGCCUUGUCUUACUCAACUGCUGAGUAUGCCUGUCCUAUCUGGCACAAGUCUAUCCAUGCGAAGCAGGUGGACAUAGCACUAAAUGAAACAUGCAGAAUAAUCACACCUGUUGAUAAACUCUAUAAGCUAGCUGGCAUUUCCCCUCCUGAAGUUGCUGCUAACUGUGAGAGAAAUAAGGUCGAACCUUGUGAAAGCCACCCACUGCAUGACUAUCAGCCUCCUCCCAGUAGACUCAAGUCAAGGAGGAGCUUCAUGAGAACCACCACUCCUCUUGAUGUUCCCCCAGCAGCAGCAAGGGUGUCCCUCUGGGCAGCUAAACCAGGCAAUCCCAACUGGAUGGCCCCCCAUGAGGGUCUGCUUCCAGGGGCAAACCAAAAAUGGGCAACUUGGAAAUCCCUAAAUAGACUGAGAAGCGGAGUGGGCAGAUCAAAAGACAACCUGGCAAGAUGGCACUACCUGGAGGAAUCCUCCACCUUGUGUGACUGUGGAGCAGAACAAACAACUCCUCAUAUGUAUGCUUGCCCACAAUGCCCUGCCUCAUGCACGGAGGAGGAGUUGUUUAAAGCUACGGACAAUGCAAUUGCUGUUGCCCAUCUUUCGUCUAAAACUAUUUGGCUGUUUGUGAUUCCUUUAUUUUAUCACUUUUAAACUUAUUUAUUAUGCAAUGCUUUUGACACAAAAUAAAUAAAUAAAAGUUAUGAGGCAGCUUCCUAUAUGCCUAUGUUUUUUUAAAUCACUCUGAAGGGAUCACCCUUUAUCCUUGAGAACUGCUUCUGGAUGUUUGGUUGGUUAUCCACAACUGAGCUACAUCUCCCUCGGAAUUAUAUUUGGGAGUUACCAAUAUGUGAAGAAAACCAAGUGAGCAAUUUUGAAUGAUGCUGCCUGAAAUGCUUGUGUGCCUUCUUUCCCAAGAUUAUUCAACGGGGCCCAAAUAAUCUGCUCCAUCAGUUUGAGCCCCUACGUCUUUAGGCCUCCAGCUGUAGGCCAAUUCUGACAGCACUUUCCCCCCUUUCCCUGACCAUAUACACCAUUUGCAGUGGGUUGUGCUAUGAUAGAUUUUCUACUCUGAAGACAUUCAAGAGUUAUAUGGUAAUUUGAGGAUUUGCCUUGAAGACAAUGGCUCCUGUUCUUCCAUACAGCCCAGUCCCAGGAACUUCUGUGCUCACACAGGGCAGGGUUUUUGACCCAGCAUGGCAGGUAUAGGGAAUUUGUAACAGAUAAGUGCUUAUGAGAGUACCCUUCUUAAUUGCUGAAUCAAGAGCUGGAUAAUGUUAGUAAAAGAGGCAUAACUUGGUUGACUAACGUAUUCUUCUCUCUCCACCCUCUCCUCCAUUUCAUUCUUUGUUAUUUGGACGACAGGUGGAAGAAAGAGCCAUGAGAAAUAUUUUAAAGGGGAAGGAGAGCAUAAAAUGAAUCCCAGAAGCUUUCAUUGUUUUUAAAUCUCCAGAGGCCCAAUGUUGAGCCAACCUACUGUCCAGACCUCACCAACGUUUAAAAGGACAAGUAUUCUGGAUACCUUCGAGCCAAAUAGCGGGAGGAGAUAGUAUAAGCCUUCCAGUGCAACCCUGUGCGACUCUACUCAGAUGGAAGCCCCACUCUGUUUAAUAAGACUUGUUCCAAGAUAACAGCUUAUAUUAAUGAAAUUCCCUAUUGGCAGAGUUCCCUGUUAAACUGAGUGCAAAUCUCUAUAAGGCAGGAGAGAAAAUGGAAGUUCCAGUAUUCGUGAGAGUGUUUCAUCUAAUCGACCCUUAUGGACUUCUCUGUACAGUCCUUGAUAGAAUGAAGCAAAAGGUUUCCUUAUUUGUGCCGAAUUACAUGUUUCUUUUUCUUUUUUCCUUUUUUGCAAAGCAGGUCCUUCCAAAUUCUGUGAAGAGCCUUCUUCCGGAUCCUCCUCCAUGUUACUUUGCAGAUCUUGGGGUCCUGCUUCUUCUGCAAUUUCCUCUCAUGUUGAUUGCAAUCUGACGUGUCCCACAGAAUUCUGUAAGAUCUGCUCUCACUCCCACAUCCCAUUGUAGGUUGUAGGGAUGCUGAACUUGAAAUCUGGGUCAAGUGACAGUGAAGUUAUUGGAUUAUUCCUAAAGAUUGCUCCUUUUACAAGCUUUCUCUUUGACCUGGCAUGUUCACUCAACCUGCCACAUUGUCAUUGUUGUUAACUGCUGUUGAAUCCACUUCAAUUUACAGUGAUUUUAUGAAUGGGAGACUUGCAAAUCGCCUUUUCAUCAACAGCCCUGCUCAGGUCUUAUAAACUCAGGACCCUGUUUUUCUUCAUUGCAUCAAUCCACUUAUAGUGCAAUCUCCUUCUUUGCCAAGUAUUAUUGUCUUUUCUAAUGCAUCAUGUCUUCUCAUAAUAGGCCAACUCUGCAAAUCCAUUGGCAUAAUCCUUUGGUAGUAACUCCUCCAUGUAAGCAACACCAUACACUAGAAUGCAGGUUCAAAUCCCCAUUCAGCUGUUGGUAACCCAUGGUAUGAUUUUGUGGGAGCAUAGACUAUGGUAAGAAUAUGCCAUGUUCAUGGCCAUCAAUAUUGCAAAGAGGUGUUUGAAAGCAUUUGGAAAAGGCCUGAUAUCAGUUCAGAAGCCAGAGAGAAGCUGGUUAAAUUCAGGUGCUAGUAGUUUCCUCUCUGCCUUUGAAUAAGAAAAGCAGAAUACAUUUUGAGGACAAGAGGGAAGAAGUCAGCUUUGCAAGACAAACAAAAAAAUUGAGUAUGUUCUAUUUACAUGUUUUGGAAUUUCCACUUCCCAUAUGUAAAAUUUUCUUUUGCCUACAUUACUGCUUAAGCAUUGAACUGUAUAGAUAGCUUCUGUUCAAUGAGGCUUGUAGACACAUAUCUAACUUUUGUUAUGUUGUGUAACUCACAUACUAACCACAUCUUCAUGUUCUAUGAAAUGACGUUCCCGUUGUGUCUGGAAAUCCUUGUUGUUGUUGUUUUUUUAAAAAAAAAUUACAUUGAUUUUAUUUCUUGAUUGAGAGAAACUAUACAAUCUGCUUUUAAAAAAAGAGUCUUCAAGUAUGCAAUGAGCUCAUAAUAAAAUACCCAUGACUGAGCAGUCAAAUGUCAGCUUGAGUUGGACCCUUUGAUUUGGUUCUCAGAAGUGUUGCUUUCAGAGACCUACUAAAAAUAUUCAGGGUGGGUAAUUUGGGGGAAGCUGCUUCUGAAGCUGCAAUAAAGGAGAUGUGGGUUAUUUCCUUACCACAGAAAGUAUGGAGCUACAAUACUUGAGAUCUGAGGUAUUCAAGUAAAUCACACGUUCUACCACCAUAAAGUAAAGUUAUGAGUAUCUGGGUUCAGUUAAGUUAUUUUAAGUCAGAAAAACACAUGAAAAGUUCUAAUUUCAGGUUGUUAAAACAUUCUCAUUCUUCAUAAUUUUAUAAAUAAAUACAAAUUUGCUGUCCUGUCAUGCCU